rnacentral:misc_RNA from 1 species
AGAACAAAUUACUUAGCAUUUGUUGUUAUUUAACACUAGAAUUGCCAAUUUUUUAGAGUAAAUUCCUGUUUUUUUAUGCUUAAAUCAAUGGACUGAGGCAAGUAAAUGUUACCUAAGUAGGCACUUCCAUAAUAAAUGUAAAUAAAGUCGUAUUCACUUUAAGAUUUUGCAAUAGCACAUAACAGUAAAAAAAAAUAAUUGGGUAGCAAGUAUGAAUGACAUUUCAUUUCUUAUAAAAUUAAACAGAAUGAUCUACAAGAACUGCUCAAUAUGUGCUUUGUAGAUGCAGAUGUAUAAUUACAAUUUUUAACAUUUAAAAUAAAAAGCUUCAGUUUCUAAGUGUUGAUAUUACAAAAUUGGAAAACAAACAGCAGUAUCCUUUUGGCAAGAGGUUUAAAAUUGGUUUCCAAUAUGAUUUUUUGGCAAGCCAGAUUUUGAAAAGUGUUUAUAGAGAAUUUUAAGGUUAUUUUUGACUCCAGAGUCUAGCCCUAAAAUAUUGAGGUGAUGUUUCAUUACACUUUGUAUAUGAAAAGAGUUAAAAGCUAGGCAUUUUGAUAUUGCUGACAAGUGAGAGUAAAAAAUGUCAAAUCUCUCAAAAUUUUUUACUCCUGGAAUGGAAAUCUCCCAGAAUUGACUCAUCGGGAGUUGGUAAGCUUCUCAGCUGUAGACAAUUGGAAAGUCCAGGGUAACUGUCAACUCUUGAAGAUGGCCCAUUAUCAAGAUCAUACAUUCUUUGAAGAAAGGAUAUCUGCUGAAAAUCUAUUGUUGGAGUGGGAUCUUGUUAGAAUUUUUCCAUUCAACAAAUCCUGUUUUAAUCAGCAUUAUAAAAGAAAUAUUAUCAAAAAAUUAAUGCACCUAUCUGGAUUAUUAAAUUGUUUGUUAGUACUGGAUAACAAUCAUUUCAAGUAUGGUGAUAACUUUUAUAGUCAAACUGAAGGAAUACCAAUGGGAACGUGCAUAGGCCCAAGACUUGCCGAAAUCUUUAUGAUAGACAUAGAUAAAAAAAUUACAGAUAUAAAAGGAAUAAUAUUUUAUAAUAGAUAUGUGGAUGAUUGCAUUAUUUUAUUUGAUAGUAGAAAGACUAACGAAGAAAAAAUUUUAAAACAGGCAAAUUCAAUAGAAACAAACAUACAGUUUGAAGCCGAAACAGAAUGUAAUAAUAGUUUAAAUUAUUUAGACAUAACCAUUAAUAGAACUGACAACAAAUUAGAAUUCAGAAAAUUUAUAAAACCUAUGCAAAUACCAAAGGUACUAAAUUAUAAAACCAACGUUCCACAAGCUAUGAAAUUUAACAUCUUCAAAAUGUACAUAGAAAAAAUUAAAAACAGAACUAGUAAAUUAGAAAAUCAAGAGAUGGAAAUAGAACAUGUAAUAAAAAUGUUCUUACUGAAUAGUUACCCCAAAAAAAUAUUAGAAAAAUGGUUAAACUGGACUAAUAAUAAUGACAAUAAAAAUAAAAAAUUUAAAAAAGAUAAAAAAUGUGUAAAAAUGAUGUAUGUACCUAAACUGUUUGAAAGAGUUAAAAAUGUACUAAAUGAAAAAGUGAAUUUAAUACCCGAAAAAAAUAAUUUAUUUAAAAGAUAUUUAUAUAAUAGGGUAGAUAAAAAAUUGGAUUUAAUGGAAGAAAAAGAAAUUGUGUAUUCAUUCAAUUGCAGUUGUGAUCCGGUUAAAACUUAUAUAGGUGAAACAAAAAGAAAAUUAGGCACAAGAAUAAAAGAGCACAUACGUGCAAUAAGGGGUAAUUAUGCAAAUUCUGCAGUAGCAGAACACUGCAAUAGUUAUGGGUGCCAAAUCAACAAAGAUACUAUAAAAAUAAAGAAAAAAGAAUCAAAUAAUUACAAACGUCAAUUAUACGAACAUUUAAACAUAAAGAAAGAAAGAAAUAAAAUAAACAAUAAUUUGGGUCGUAUAAUCCACCAAUCCUGGAGCACCAUACUAGAUGACGUUUAUAAAAAAGCAUAGUUAAGCCUCUCUACCAUAAUACUGUUGAAUUGCGAAAAUUUGAACCUUGAUUGAAAUGUUUAACUCAUUAAUUAAUUAUACAACGAGAAAAAUACAUUUAUACUCGGGUUUGGAAUAUGUAUUUACAUGUGUGGUAGUAGUACUGCUGAUGAGGGGCAUGCUAGCCCGAAACACGUGUAAUAUGUGUACAGAAACUAUUACUACAGAACCUGUAAUAUCUGGAAUAAUUGUGUUUACGCUGUCUUAAUUUUUAACCAUGCCCAGUAUCUUCAAUACUGCGUAAUGCCAGGUCGUGCAAAUUGGGCAAGGAUAUAUAGUCUGCAAAGUCAUCUAAAAGAAAAUAACUGGCUCAGGACAAGGCUUGAACCAGCAAACUCCACUUGCCAUGCGGUGUGCUUGCCAGUUGCGCCACUCGAACUCCAAGCAAGCCUUCGCUUCCAGCUAGUGCCAUCAUUAUAACCAUGUAAGAUUAUAUCUAAAUUUAAAUACAUCUGGAAAAGUGAGUGAACAAAAUCAUGCACCACAUACACACACACAUACACAUCCAUACAUAUGGGAAAACACCCAAACUUUUUUGCAUUUCUUGAUGUUUUAAGGUUCUCCAAAUCCAAAAAUUAAAAAUCUUGGGGAGAGGUCAUUUUUGAUCAAUUGCCAUACCUUCUGUUAUAUAUAAUGCUGGGAAAGUAAUAUUGCAAAUGAAUACAAACACAAAUAAAAUUUGUACUCUUACAUAUUCUUCACAGCUACAGGAACACAAAGCAUUAGUAGAGUCAACCUUACAUUGUAGGAUUUAAUUUUUUAGAAAAAUUUUUUGCAAGAACUUAAUAGUAGAAUGACUAUAGAAGCAAUUUUUACAUAUUUGGAAGUAGAGAAGAGCCUAUAAUGGAAAAACUAAUGUUUAAUUAUAUUCCUGUACGUGAGAAGGCAUGCAAGGAGUUUUAUUUGUGUUUGUCUUCAACUGUAAAAUUUUAAAAUUUAUUUACAUAUAAAAUUCUUUUCCAUUAGACGUUUAAAUUUAUAAACAUGACUUUAUUAACAAGUAAAAAAUCAACUUCUUUUAAGUACAAAUUUAUUUAUUAAGUGAAAACAUUCAUCCAAAAGAAUUUUCAAACUCUUUACGUCUACUGUGAUAAGAACGGUUUUUCAUCUUGGUUUUCUCUUUAUGAAUGUGACUGAAAUAUUCUCGCCAAUUUUGUUAAAUUUUCACACAAUAAUGUCAUUUGAAACUAGAGCUUUUAAUAUUUGCUUUUGUCCUUAAUUUUCAUUUGUAGAAUGAUCAGGAUAAAAAAUACAAUGCCCCCCUUCAGAAUUAUUUUUCAGAACCACUGAUAGAUUGAUCCAGACUUGCAAGUGAAUUUAGCCUGUCCAAGGAAGACUAGAUUUAGCUCGAUAUAGUUUUAUUGCCAUUCUCAUGUUCACUAGAGGGCAACAAGCUUUCAGCAUGUGAAUACUGCAAGUAUAUUAACAACAAUUCAGUUUUUCUUUGGGACUCCUGCAUUGCUCAUAUCUUCUCUUUAACCUUUCCAAGUCUAAACAAGUGUUCUGUCUAGAUUCUAUUAAGUUCCACAUACCAAUAAUUCCAUGCCUAUUCUUUUCUUCCAGUUUUA